UGGUGACAGCCAUCGUGUUGCACAGUGUCUUCUUCCUCUCAGGUGAUUCUGCUACUUGUGAUGUGCAUUCAGAUCUAUUCAUCACUGCACCAAAAGAGAUGGAAGCACUGACGGGAUCUUGUUUACAAAUUCCAUGUAACUUCAGCAUUAAAUCAGGAGAGAAAAUCAACAGCGCAACAACAACCUUUGGAGUGUGGAUGAUAAAAAGUUCGGACUUUUUUAACAAUCCAAAUAAUGUGGUUUUCAACAGUAGUGGGACAGUUUCCACGUAUCCGAUGAGUUUUACUGGAGACUUGAGUCAGAAAAUCUGCACCACUUUAUUUUCCAAUUUGAAGACAACAUACACACACCGAUUCUUCUUCAGGGUUGAGAACCGUCCAUUUCUAGCAACGGCUGAUUGUGAUUAUCUUGAAAUAACAGUUAAAGAUUCUCCUCCAAAGCCCAGGAUUGAGAUCUCAGGUGAUGU